rnacentral:rRNA from 1 species
CACGUAGGGCGCGAGCGUUGUCCGGAAUUAUUGGGCGUAAAGAGCUCGUAGGCGGUCUGUUGCGUCCGCUGUGAAAACCCAGGGCUUAACCCUGGGCUUGCAGUGGAUACGGGCAGACUAGAGGCAGGUAGGGGAGAAUGGAAUUCCCGGUGUAGCGGUGAAAUGCGCAGAUAUCGGGAGGAACACCGGUGGCGAAGGCGGUUCUCUGGGCCUGACCUGACGCUGAGGAGCGAAAGCGUGGGGAGCGAACAGG